CCCUUAGAUGUCCUGGGCCGCACGCGCGCUACACUGAUGCAUUCAACGAGUUUUACCUUGGCCGAGAGGCCUGGGCAAUCUUUUGAACCUGCAUCGUGAUAGGGAUAGAUUAUUGCAAUUAUUAAUCUUGAACGAGGAAUUCCUAGUAAACGCAGAUCAUCAAUCUGCAUUGAUUACGUCCCUGCCCUUUGUACACACCGCCCGUCGCGCCUACCGAUUGAAUGGUCCGGUGAAGCCUCGGGAUUGUGGCGAGUUCCCUUUAUUGGGAGUUUGUCGCGAGAACUUGUCUAAACCUUAUCAUUUAGAGGAAGGUGAAGUCGUAACA
rnacentral:rRNA from 1 species